AUUUAAAUGGCCGCAGUAUUUUGACUGUGCAAAGGUAGCAUAAUCAUUAGUUUUUUAAUUAAAAGCUUGUAUGAAAGGUUGGACGAAGUAAAAUCUGUCUCUAUAUAAAUUAUAAUAGAAGUUAACUUUUAAGUUAAAAGGCUUAAAUUUUAUUAAAAGACGAGAAGACCCUAUAGAGCUUUAUAAUUUUUUUAAUAAUAUUAAUUUAGAAAUAUUAAUAUUUUAUUAGAUGACAUUAUUUUAUUGGGGUAAUAUAAAGAUUAAAAAAAUUCUUUUUUUUAUUAACAUUAAUUUAUGAUUUUAAUGAUCCAGUUUUAUUGAUUAUAAGAUUAAGUUACCUUAGGGAUAACAGCGUAAUUUUUUUAAAGAGUUCAUAUCGAUAAAAAAGUUUGCGACCUCGAUGUUGGAUUAAAGAUUAUUUUAGGUGCAGAAGCUUAAAAUUUUUGGUCUGUUCGACCAUUAAAUCUUUACAUGAUCUGAGUUCAGACCGGUGUAAGCCAGGUCGGUUUCUAUCUUUAGUUAAUUAAAAUAUUUUAGUACGAAAGGACCAAAUAUUUAAUAUAUUAAUAUUUUAUUAUUUGAAUAUUA
rnacentral:rRNA from 1 species